rnacentral:rRNA from 1 species
GAGGAAGUAAAAGUCGUAACAAGGUUUCCGUAGGUGAACCUGCGGAAGGAUCAUUAUUGAAAUAAACCUGAUGGGUUGUUGCUGGUUCUCUAGGGAGCAUGUGCACGCCUUGUCAUCUUUAUAUCUCCACCUGUGCACUUUUUGUAGACCUCUCAGGUCUAUGUUGCUUCAUUUACCCCAAUGUAUGUUAAUAGAAUGUUGUGCCUAUAUAAUAUAUACAACUUUCAGCAACGGAUCUCUUGGCUCUCGCAUCGAUGAAGAACGCAGCGAAAUGCGAUAAGUAAUGUGAAUUGCAGAAUUCAGUGAAUCAUCGAAUCUUUGAACGCACCUUGCGCUCCUUGGUAUUCCGAGGAGCAUGCCUGUUUGAGUGUCAUUAAUAUAUAUCAACCCUCUCUUUUUGAGUGGUUUGGAUGUGGGGGUUUGCUGGCCUCUUAAAUGAUUCAGCUCCCCUGAAAUGCAUUAGCAGAACAACCUUGUUCAUUGGCGUGAUAACUAUCUAUGCUAUUGAAUGUGAGGGCAGUUCAGCUUUCUAACUGUCUUUGGACAAUUCAUCAUUAAUGUGACCUCAAWUCRGGUAGGMCYACCCGCUGAACUUAAGCAUAUCAAUAAGCC